ACUGAAAUAGCUCAGUUGGAAGAGCGGUAGACUAUAGAUUGAAAGGUCCCUGGUUCGAUCCCGGAUUACGGCA
rnacentral:tRNA from 1 species